rnacentral:rRNA from 1 species
AACGAACGCUGGCGGCAUGCCUAACACAUGCAAGUCGAACGAGACCUUCGGGUCUAGUGGCGCACGGGUGCGUAACGCGUGGGAACCUGCCCUUAGGUUCGGAAUAACUCCCCGAAAGGGGUGCUAAUACCGGAUAAUGUCUUCGGACCAAAGAUUUAUCGCCUUUGGAUGGGCCCGCGUUGGAUUAGCUAGCUGGUAGGGUAAAAGCCUACCAAGGCGACGAUCCAUAGCUGGUCUGAGAGGAUGAUCAGCCACACUGGGACUGAGACACGGCCCAGACUCCUACGGGAGGCAGCAGUGGGGAAUAUUGGACAAUGGGCGAAAGCCUGAUCCAGCAAGGCCGCGUGAGUGAUGAAGGCCUUAGGGUUGUAAAGCUCUUUUACCCGGGAUGAUAAUGACAGUACCGGGAGAAUAAGCUCCGGCUAACUCCGU